ACACACACACAGAUAUACAUAGAUACACACACAGACACAUACACUGACAGACAUACUGACUGACACACACAUACACACACAGACAUACUUACAUACACACACAGACAUACUGACACACAAAGACAUGCUGACACACACACACAGACAUACUGACAUACACACAGACAGGCGUACUGGCACAUACACACAGACAGACAUUAAAACAUUCACAGAUACAUACUGACACACACAUACACUGACACACAAAUAUAUCCUGGCAGACAUACUGACACACACGUACACACACACACAGAGACAUACCUACAUACACACACAGACAUACUGGCAUACACACAGACAUACUGACACACACACACACACAGACAUACUGGCAUACACACAGACAUACUGACACACACACACACACACACUGACAUACACACACAGACAUACUGCAUACACACAGACAUACUACACACACAGACAUACUGGCAUACACACAGACAUACUGGCAUACACACAGACAUACUGACACACACACACACACACACACAGACAUACUGGCAUACACACACAGACAUACUGGCAUACACACAGACAUACUGACACACACACAUACAUACUGGCAUACACACACAGACAUACUGGCAUACACACAGACAUACUGACACACACACACACACACACACACACAGACAUACUGACACACACACACACACAGACAUACUGGCACACACACACACAGACAUACACACACAGACCUACUGACAUACAUUUAGCCACCCUCCAGGUUCUUACCUUUUCCUGGAGGGUGGUUUCCCUGGUCCAGUGGCAGGCUGAGGCAGAUGGGAGUUCUCUUCUUGAACUCCCCUCCUCCCUGCCUUCCUCCUCCCGCGCGGCUAUCUCCGGUGGGAGGAAGUGACGUCACUCCUCCCAGCCGGCUGCAGAACCGGAAGAGGGGCCCGGUCGCGCUGUUUAAGCGCCACAACGCCCGCCGGGCCCCUGCUGACACAUGCUCCCCGGGUGGCCCUUAGUGCAUGGGACACCCGGGGAGCCUCCUCAGUGUGCGGGAGCCGCAAAUCGCGGGGCCCACAGAGCAGCUGCUCUGGGCCCCCAGGAGCAACUGGGCCCGGGGCAGCUGCCCCGUUUGCCCCGCGUUAAAGACGGCCCUGA